AAGAAAGUGACAGAGUGGGUAUGUAGGUGGCUUGAAACUAUCAUACGGGGGUUCAAUUCCCUCCUUUCUCG
rnacentral:tRNA from 1 species